rnacentral:rRNA from 1 species
UAUCGGCCCGUGAGAGUGGCGGAAGGGCGAGGAACACGUGAGCAACCUGUCCGUUGAGGUGGGGAAAACCGCUGGAAACGGCGGCUAAUACCGAAUGCGGCGCCGGGAGACAUCUCCCGAGCGCUAAAGGGGGCCGCAAGGCUCCCCCUCUUCGAGGGGCUCGCGCACCAUCAGCUUGUUGGCGGGUAACGGCCACCAAGGCUCACGGUUAGCUGGUCUGAGAGGAUGGCCAGCCGCACUGGGACUGAGAUACUGCCCAGACUCCUACGGGAGGCUGCAGUCGAGGAUCAUUCGCAAUGGGGGAAACCCUGACGAUGCGACGCUGCGUGGAAGGAUGAAGGCCCUCGGGUCGUAAACUCCUGUCAUGAGGGAAAAGGCGAAGGGACCCAACACGUCCCCUAGUUGAUGGUACCUCAAGAGGAACGGGCGGCUAACUCUGUGCCAGCCGCAGC